rnacentral:rRNA from 1 species
UACGUAGGGUGCGAGCGUUAAUCGGAAUUACUGGGCGUAAAGCGUGCGCAGGCGGCGCGUUAAGACAGGUGUGAAAGCCCCGAGCUUAACUUGGGAAUUGCGCUUGUGACUGGCGGGCUGGAGUGUGGCAGAGGGAGGUGGAAUUCCACGUGUAGCAGUGAAAUGCGUAGAGAUGUGGAGGAACACCGAUGGCGAAGGCAGCCCCCUGGGCCAAUACUGACGCUCAUGCACGAAAGCGUGGGGAGCAAACAGG